rnacentral:rRNA from 1 species
UCCUGCCGGAGGCUACUGCUAUCGGGGUUCGAUUAAGCCAUGCGAGUUAAAUGUUCUUCGUGAACAUAGCGAACUGCUCAGUAACACGUGGAUAACCUACCCUUAGGACCGGAAUAACCCCGGGAAGCUGGGGAUAAUACCGGAUAAGCCAUAGACGCUGGAAUGCCCUAUGGUUCAAAGNUCCGGCGCCUAAGGAUGGAUCUGCGGUCUAUCAGGUUGUAGUGGGUGUAACGUACCUACUAGCCGACGACGGAUACGGGUUGUGAGAGCAAGAGCCCGGAGAUGGAUUCUGAGACACGAAUCCAGGCCCUACGGGGUGCAGCAGGCGCGAACACUUUACAAUGCGGGAAACCGCGAUAAGGGAACCCCGAGUGCCAGCAUCAAAUGUUGGCUGUCCAGAUGGUUAAAAAUCAUUUGUUAGCAAGGGCCGGGCAAGACCGGUGCCAGCCGCCGCGGUAACACCGGCGGCCCGAGUGGUAGCCGUUUUUAUUGGGUCUAAAGGGUCCGUAGCCGGCCUGAUAAGUCCUUUGGGAAAUCUGACGGCUUAACUGUCAGGCUUCUAAGGGAUACUGUCAGGCUUGGGACCGGAAGAGGUAAGGGGUACUCCAGGGGUAGGAGUGAAAUCUUGUAAUCCCUGGGGGACCAUCUGUGGCGAAGGCGCCUUACCAGAACGGGUCCGACGGUGAGGGACGAAAGCUAGGGGAGCAAACCGGAUUAGAUACCCGGGUAGUCCUAGCUGUAAACGAUGCUCGCUAGGUGUCAGACACGGUGCGACCGUGUUUGGUGCCGCAGGGAAGCCGUUAAGCGAGCCACCUGGGAAGUACGGUCGCAAGGCUGAAACCUAAAGGAAUUGGCGGG